rnacentral:misc_RNA from 1 species
GAGAUCUUCAAGCCCUGCUGAAACUGUUAAUUAACCCCACAAAUCUGUCUCAGUUCAGUAAUUAUACAUAAAAAUAAGAUAAAAACAUAAUGUGAUACGAAAGUAUAAAGCAUGGGCAUCUAGACUUGUUCCCCAGUACAGUGUGGCAAAUUACUGUCAUGAUUUAGUUGAAAUCUGAAAAAAUAGUUGAAAUUCUUGUGCAAAUUUAAUAGUAAAUAAUUUUUCUAAAAAAAAAAAUAAAAUUUAGCAAUUAGACCCAUAUAAAUUGAAGUUUAGUAGUAAUCAUUACGAAAAUAAUUAUGAUUUAAGGAUUUAUAAUGCAUGAUAUUAAGGGUUCAAAGAUUAAUUAUUCUUAUUUCCUUUAAAUGUUUCCAAAAUAUAUAAAAAAAAAUGAAAUAAAAGCUUAAUUUACUUAAUUACUCAUUAAAAAUGAAAUUCAACUACAAUCUUGGCUAAAACGCGGAAAGGAGUACAUACCCACAUAAGGGAAGAAGACGAUAU